rnacentral:rRNA from 1 species
UACGAGGGGGGGCGAGCGUUUGUUCGGAAUUAUUGGGCGUAAAGGGUGCGUAGGCGGUUUGGUAAGUCUGAUGUGAAAUCUAUGGGCUCAACUCAUAGUCUGCAUCGGAAACUGCCGGGCUUGAGUAUGGGAGAGGUGAGUGGAAUUCCUGGUGUAGCGGUGAAAAUGCGUAGAUAUCAGGAGGAACACCUGUGGCGAAAAGCGGCUCACUGGACCAUAACUGACUGAUGCACGAAAAGCUAGGGGGAGCAAAACAGGG